rnacentral:rRNA from 1 species
UACAGAGGUCUCAAGCGUUGUUCGGAAUUACUGGGCGUAAAGGGCGCGUAGGCGGCCUUCUAAGUCGAACGUGAAAUCCCCGGGCUCAACCCGGGAACUGCGUCCGAUACUGGAAGGCUUGAAUCCGGGAGAGGGAUGCGGAAUUCCAGGUGUAGCGGUGAAAUGCGUAGAUAUCUGGAGGAACACCGGUGGCGAAGGCGGCAUCCUGGACCGGUAUUGACGCUGAGGCGCGAAAGCCAGGGGAGCAAACGGG